CCUACGGGUGGCUGCAGUGAGGAAUAUUGGUCAAUGGACGAGAGUCUGAACCAGCCAAGUAGCGUGAAGGAUGACUGCCCUAUGGGUUGUAAACUUCUUUUAUAUGGGAAUAAAAUGUUCCACGUGUGGGAUUUUGUAUGUCCCAUAUGAAUAAGGAUCGGCUAACUCCGUGCCAGCAGCCGCGGUAAUACGGAGGAUCCGAGCGUUAUCCGGAUUUAUUGGGUUUAAAGGGAGCGUAGGUGGAAUGUUAAGUCAGUUGUGAAAGUUUGGGGCUCAACCGUAAAAUUGCAGUUGAAACUGGCAGUCUUGAGUAAAGUAGAGGUGGGCGGAAUUCGUGGUGUAGCGGUGAAAUGCUUAGAUAUCACGAAGAACUCCGAUUGCGAAGGCAGUUCACUGGACUGCAACUGACACUGAGGCUCGAAAGUGUGGGUAUCAAACAGGAUUAGAUACCCGUGUAGUC
rnacentral:rRNA from 1 species